rnacentral:misc_RNA from 1 species
AACUGCUAAAAACUGCUAGAAAAACCUGAAUUUCUGUAGGAAAUGUAAAGUGAAAUCAUUUGAGCAAUUAAAAAAGGAAAAUAUUGUUGAACGGAAAUCAGUUAGGUACACUAAGUCUUUUUAGGAAGGAAUUAAAGCCCCAAGUUUAUAUUUUAAUAAUAUCUGUGAGGAUGGCUUACUUUUUCCUGACUUUAAGAAAUUUGUUUUAUUGUGGAAUUCCUUAUCAUGUAAAGUUAAAUGUUUUUGCUCCAAAUAGGUUCACUUCACUUUCCUGCAUGAAACAAUUUUCUGUUGCUCAAAAAUUUAGAGAUUUCCCUUCAAAUAAUUUGAUUAAAGUAGCUAAAAAUAUUUUUUCCAAACAAUGGAGGAAAAAUGUUGCAAAAAAGAAAUCAAAGAUAUAUGGAGGUAUAUUUUGUGUUUGUUUGUUAUCACCCAUAAAACCAUUAACUGUUCUCUGCGAAGCUGAUAUAUCACCUCACUCAAGACUUGUUGGUGUCAACAGUAUUGAAAAGUUGCAUCAAGAAGCUCGAUUUGAUUGGAGAAAGUUUUUUAGCAUUGUGAAAGGGGAAGUUUUAUACAUAUUUUUUGCAGUUGUGAGUGCACUCAUUGUAGCAUUUUUAAAUAUUCAUAUUCCUGUUGCACUGGGAGAUAUGGUAAAUCUGGUGUCUUCUUUUGUGGCAGAUGAAUAUGUAGAAAAGGAUGCUAUUUUGUUUUUCACUGAAUUAAGAGAGCCAACUGUGCGUCUUCUUUAUAUGUAUCUUGCUCAAAGCCUAUUCACAUUUGCCUAUAUUUCCAUCCUGUCUGUCUCCGGUGAAAGAGUAGCUCGUAAUAUGAGAAGGGAACUAUUUGCUUCAAUUAUUGAACAAGAUAUUUCAUUUUUUGAUGCUCAUAAAACUGGAGAAAUUUCAAGUAGAUUGACUAAUGAUGUACAAGAAUUUAAAAGCUGUUACAAACUCUGCAUUUCACAAGGACUGAGAAGUAUUGCUCAGACAGUUGGCUGUGGUGUAUCACUCUAUGUGAUAUCUCCAAAAAUGACUGGUCUUAUGAUUUGUGUGGUUCCUGUUAUUGUCCUGACUGGCACUUUUAUAGGAAGAAUAUUGCGAACUAUGUCAAAAUAUGCUCAGUCACAGAUUGCUCAAGCAACUGCUGUUGCUGAUGAAGCUAUAGGAAAUAUAAAAACAGUUCGUUCAUUUGCAAUGGAAGAUUCAGAAAAAGAAUUAUAUUAUGAUCAAAUAGAUGAAGUGAGAAAAUUGAAUAGCAGGUUAGGCAUCGGAAUAGGAGUAUUUCAAGGUCUAUCAAAUUUAGCUCUAAAUGGCAUCGUUUUAGGGGUUUUAUGUGUUGGAGGAUCUUUAAUGUGCAAUGCUGAAAUGACUCCUGGAAGCAUGAUGGCAUUUUUAGUUGCAACACAAACUAUACAGAAAUCCUUAGCUCAUCUUUCAUUGCUGUUUGGACAGUUUAUCAGAGGUUUGGCUGCAGGUGCUAGGAUUUUCCAGUACAUGAAUUUAUCACCAAGGAUACCACUGAAAGGUGGUAAAAGAAUCAGAGAUGAUGAGCUCUAUGGAGAAGUUAAAUUUAACAAUGUUACAUUUGCUUAUCCCACUCGUCCAGAUCAGGUUGUUUUAAAGAAUUUUAAUCUCACAUUGCCUCCAAGGAAGAUGGUUGCAUUAUGUGGUCUCUCUGGUGGAGGUAAAUCUACGGUUGCUGCUUUGUUAGAAAGAUUUUAUGAUGUUGGAAGCGGAAACAUUUCAAUUGAUGGUUAUGAUAUAAAAUCAUUAGAUCCUAGCUGGUUACGUGGAAAUAUUAUUGGUUACAUUGAUCAAGAACCUGUUCUUUUUGCAACGUCUAUAAUGGAAAAUAUCCGGUAUGGAAGGCCUGAUGCUUCAGACUCAGAGUGCUUUAGAUGUGGAAUCUGAAAGGGCUGUUCAAGAAGCAUUAGACUAUGCUGUGAAAGGACGCACUGUACUGGUGAUAGCUCAUCGCCUUAGUACUAUACAAAACGCUGAUGCUAUUGCUGUUAUUACAGGGGGAGUUGUUGCUGAAUAUGGAAAUCAUUCAAGUUUGACUAAGAAGAAAGGCCUGUAUUGGAAACUUAU